UUAAUUAAUACAUUAAUUCAAAAAAAUAAAAAUAAAAAUAAAUCAAAAGGGAUUAGGUUUAGGUGUUUAGGUGAAGAGUGACGAUUGGAGUCUUCUUCUCCCUCUUCACGAACAGCGACGGUGGUGCCCCCGAUCGAAGCGUUCAGAUCGCCGCUGAUGAACUCCUCCGACUCACCAUCGUGAACCACAUAAGCGAAAGCUUCGAUCUCUCUUGCUUCUCAUAACCACGGCGCCGAUGGCACAUCUCUCCAUUCCUCCGAUUAGAGAACGCGGAGGUCCUCCCUCUCAACUCCGCUAAACUCUUUGUUCGCCUCUCAUCUCUUUGCUCAAACUCGUCUCUGCUCAUAUUCGAGUCCCCUCCGAUUCAACUCCGCCUCUUUCUCGCCUCCAAUUCUCAGCCUCCUCUCCAUCAUCUCCGAACUCAACUCUCUCCUUUGGUUUCUCUCAAUCAACCGCUCAUCUUUCUCUCCGAUUGAGGCUUUUUAUUCCUCCGCCGUGAAUCAAAGCACCACAUUCCAGAUGCUGAAUCGAAUCGGUGAAGAGUAUUGCUCUGGAGAUUCUACAGGUCGAUGUCGCUGUUGCAGGAUUGUAAUUGAAGGAGUUUACGAAGGUUUUUUCUGAAGGUGAUUGAAUGGAAAUGGUGAUGAAGAUUCAAAGAUGAUGACAAACGUGGAUGAUGAUUGAAGCUGCGUGAUGAUGAUGAUGAUUGAAGUUUGAAGUUUCUGGUGAUUGAAGAACUGGUGGUGAAGAGUCAGGGGAGGAAAACUUCAGAUUGAAGAUCAUGGAGGAGCUUGAAGAUUGAAGAAUCGGUUCAGAGGGAGAGGGAGAAAGAUAUUGAAGAUGAUCGUAGAGUUUGAAGAGAGAGUUGAAGAUUGAGAGGAGAUUGAAGAUUGGUAAAGAAGAUGAAGAAGAUCGACUGGGAGAGAGUGAAGGAAGAGAAUUGGAGAACGUGGGAAAGAGAUCGAAGGAGAAGAAUUGAAGAAGUUUGGUACAGGAUUUGGUUAUGAGGGCCUUGGAUUUGAAUUGGAGCACGGAGAGCUUAGUGGAAAGCAGGAGAGACUUGGAUGAAGGACCUUGUGGAACGAAGUGACGUUAACUGGCAGAGUGAAGUUGAAGAUUAGAAGAAAUUGGUCCCUUAGGAUUUAGGAAGUCAAUGGGUCAAACUGUUUUCCAUUUUGUCAUUUAUUUGAAACUUGGAUUUGAGUUUUGAUUUGUAAUUGAAUGAAUUCUGAGUCUGGCAGUACAGCUCAUGUUGUGGAUUGGUGUGGAUAGUAACUUCUUGAAUGCAUAUGUUUAAUUUGUAAUUCCCUUGUUU